CCGGCUAACUCCGUGCCAGCAGCCGCGGUAAUACGGAGGGUGCGAGCGUUAAUCGGAAUUACUGGGCGUAAAGCGCAUGCAGGUGGUUUGUUAAGUUCAGAUGUGAAAGACCCGGGGCGUCAACCUCGGAAUAGCAUUUGAAACUGGCAGACUAGAGUACUGUAGAGGGGGGUAGGAAGUUUCUAGGUGUAGCGGUGAAAUAGCGUAGAGAUCUGAAGGAAUACCGGUGGCGAAGGCGGCCCCCUCGGACAGAUACUGACACUCAGAUGCGAAAGCGUGGGGAGCAAACAGGAUUAGAUACCCUGGUAG
rnacentral:rRNA from 1 species